rnacentral:lncRNA from 1 species
AUGCUGCCACACUUGAAUCUGCAAGUCUCUGAAGGUAGGCUACAGAGAGCAGGCGGCUGCCCAGCAGCUCUGAGGUGUAUAUCUGCAGAAAGACCGGAGCUGUCUGGCUACUACCUACAGGAGCAUCAAAGUAGCCUCCACUACACGAGGAGAAGGGCUAGCUGCAGUAAGAUCCUCUACCUAAUCACAUUUCCAGACUGUUGGAAUGGCGGAGUUACAGUAUCCCCGAAGCUCAAAGAGCUCUGUGAAUAUUACAGAAACACCAUUAAUGUGCCAACUCUGUGUGCUAAACUUAUUCAUUCCUGUCAGAGUUAACCUCUCAUUAAUCUGUCUGCUCUUUAAUUCUGUAAAAAACACGGAUGUAAGACAAGAACUCAAACUGUAUAUAAAAGUAACAGUUUUAAAUCAUUCAGGCAUUACUUUAAAGCUUUGGGAUAUUGAAGGAAGUGGAAGUUCAGUGAUGUCAUUCUCGUCUUGCUAUGAGGAUGUCUACACACUCUAUAUUCUACACUAGAGAUCCUCAUUAGCGAUCAUGGAUGGUGGGUGUCCAGCACAGGUUAUCAUUCUAAAAUACAUCUGCUAGGUUUAGUAAUUAACAAAGUAUGUUUGGCUGUGAAUGAUGGCCUUUGCUUUACACCAGCUGUCUAUACCCCUCGUCCUGGAGAGCAGCUAACUUCUUUCAGGUUUUAACUCCAGCCCAGAUCUAACACACCCCAAUCAACAAAUCAAACUUCUGGAGACAGUGAUUACUUCUAGUUCUUAGUUAUUUGAAUGAGCUGGGAUUUUCUGCAUGAAGAGACCUCUCCAGGAGAAGGGGUGCAGAACACUACCCUACAGUGCACUUAGUUAUAAAUGAAUACAGCUUCCAGUCAGUGUUUCUAUAUAUAUAUAUAUAUAUAUAUGUAAUGUAUAUUACAGUUGUGUAUGUAAACUUUCUUCUGAAUCUGUACUAUAUUUCUGUUCUAUUUAGAAAUUGUUAUUACCCCACUGCCCUUAUAGUUUGUAAAUAUAAAACAGGGGAAUAUGUAUUAUUUAUUUAUCAAAUUAUUUUGUACAACACAACAGUAUCUGCACAGAUACCUUGAAAUACCUUGAGACAUUUAUCUUGAUCUCAAUGUAGAACACAUUUGUCAUUUAUUUUGUAACUUAUUUAUUGGAUGUUGUAUAUUGAAGCAGUAAUGCUGGAUCAUGCAGCAAAUUGUGCUAAUGGGCAGUUGCCUAGAGACUGUCUCCUUUAAUGAACUGCUCAGCAGAUUAAUGAGUUAUAUAUUCCUUAUGGCAUGGCAAGAGCUGAAUGGUCAAAAUGGUAUUACAUUUUUUGAGAGUGAGCCUGAAAAAUGAUCCAUUUGUUUAAAAUCGUUUAGAUUUAAAGCAGUAUAUCAGAAUGUUAAAUUUGAUCUUUAUUUGUCAUGCAUACUGUUCCAUAUACAAUAUUUUCAAUAGGUUUUCCUGUACCAACAAAAGAACAGAACACCUGUAUACUUCAAUUUUACAAAAUCAGUUGGAUUCUGUAAAUAAUUGUAAAUAUGUGGCUGUUUGACGUAGUUGAUGUGAUAUGAAAGUGCAUCAUAGAGAAGAGACAUUCUGUUUAAAUGCUUUGUUUUUGAAGAAGGUUGCAUACAGCCUCUACCAAUCAAACCUCACUUUAGCCCCACUUUUUCUUGUUCCCAGCUCUAGUGUCAUAGUAGAUGAUACAAUGACUAGAUACCGUUUUUUAAAUUUGAAAAGUAUUAUGGAUGGCUUUGAUCUAUAGAUUUAUAACUCUCACAUUAGGUCUUAUUGGUGGAGUCCAGGACUGUUCUGUUCUUUUCUACGCAUGGGGAAACAGCAGCAUUGUUAACUAUUAUCUUUAACAUGGAUGUUAUUUAAUAGACUAUUGUAUAGGUAAGACAGGUAGAGAUCAGGCUGAAAAUGUUGCAGUUCACUCAUAGUAGAGUUGUGUUUUUAUUUUGCUGUUUUCCACAUUGUGGGAGAAUAGCACCUGUGGAAAUAUGAAAUACAGUUAUCUUUAAAGGCAAUUAAAAUGAUCUUAUAUAUUUAAGCUUCUACAAAUUGACCACUUUACCUUGAUUCCAGUUCUGCAGACUGUUGUAAUUUUAAUGCCACUUCAAAUAAUUUGUUUCUAAAAGACUUGAAGACAUUCAAGGAUUGAACAAAGAUAAAAGAAAAUCAGUUGUGUUAGUGACAGUGACAGUCUGGAUGCCCAAAACCUUUUUUACAACAUUCUUGACACAUCAGUGCUUUUAAAAUAGGCUUGUUUAAUUGCCUAAAAGAGUGUUUAUGUAAGGUCCAUUAAAAUGCUUCAUAUAUUUUUUUCUAGUACAUAUGUAUUUAAACCUCUGUAUUUAAAAUCCACAGACAAGUCUGUUAUUUAUCAUUAAGUCUUAGCAAAUGCUGUAUUAUGUGUGUGCUCAUUGGGUGUGAUCAUUGUUGUGACACCAAGAAACUGAAACAAUCUAGAUAUGGAACUCGUGUGUUUGAAGUGCUGCCUUUUGUAUGAAAGAAUUAAAAAUCUGUAUCAAAUGGGAGCAAAACUGCUUUUGUCAUUUACAGACAGGAUUAAAGCUGUGCUCAAAUGAAACAUGUAUAGUUCCACAUUGCUGUAACUUAGAAGGUGCCGUAUCGAAUAAAACCUGCCUGCAAUUAUCA